UUAGUUGACCAAUUAAGUCCAAGUACAUGGUGACUGUCUAAAAAACAAUGAGUUUCUUAAUAAUGCCAUAAUAUAAUAAAAAAAUUAAUCAACCUUCUAUAAAUCAUGGCAUCAACGCUAACUAUUAACAGUUCAGGGAUGCCUUGCAACAACAGAACUGUCUGAAGUCCAGCUCUCACUCUUCUGCACUGCAGCUUGGCAAAAAUCCCCUGCACAGAAUGGAACUCCCCUGAUCCCGAGUGCCCUGCCCAGGGAACAGGGGAUGGGGUAUUGCUGUGGCUGCUGCAGCUGGACCCUUGGCUGUGGGCUGCCUGCCUCAUGCCCUGAACUGAAGAUUCGUGGGCAAACAGUCCAUCUGAUGAAGUUUAGACACCCAGGAUGUGACAUAUAUCCCUUUGGACUUCCUUCAAAGCCAGGGAAAAUGAAUAGGUCUUCUGAGUCAUCUGCAGAGGGAUUUGUUCUGUUCCAAGUAAUAGGCAGCACACUUUUGGGGAGUAGGUGGCAUCUUAAACAACUGAUAUCACCACUUAGAGUUAGCAAAA